rnacentral:rRNA from 1 species
UACGUAGGGGGCAAGCGUUGUCCGGAUUUAUUGGGCGUAAAGAGCGUGUAGGCGGCCAGGUAGGUCCGCUGUGAAAACUCGAGGCUCAACCUCGAGAUGUCGGCGGAAACCAUCUGGCUAGAGUCCGGAAGAGGAGAGUGGAAUUCCUGGUGUAGCGGUGAAAUGCGCAGAUAUCAGGAAGAACACCCGUGGCGAAGGCGGCUCUCUGGGACGGUACUGACGCUGAGACGCGAAAGCGUGGGGAGCGAAACAGG